GACGUAGGGGGCCAGCGUUGUUCGGACUUCCUGGGCGUACAGCGUGCGCAGGCGGCUUACUACGACAGGUGUGAAAGCCCCGAGCUUAACUUGUGAAUGGCGCUUGUGACUGGUAGGCUGGAGUGUGGCAGAGGGAGGUGGAAUUCCACGUGUAGCAGUGAAAUGCGUAGAGAUGUGGAGGAACACCGAUGGCGAAGGCAGCCUCCUGGGCCAGCACUGACGCUCAUGCACGAAAGCGUGGGGAGCAAACAGG
rnacentral:rRNA from 1 species